CCUACGGGUGGCAGCAGUGGGGAAUAUUGCUCAAUGGGGGAAACCCUGAAGCAGCGACGCCGCGUGAAGGAUGAAGGAUUUAGGGUUGUAAACCUCUAUUUGUAGGGAAGAAAAUGACAGUACCUGACCAAUAAGCUCCGUCUAACUACGUGCCAGAAGCCGCGGUAAUACGUAGGGUGCAAGCGUUAUCCGGAUUUACUGGGUGUAAAGGGAGCGUAGACGGUUUUGUAAGUCAGUAGUGAAAGCCUGUGGCUCAACCGCAGAACUGCAUUGGAAACUGUGAAACUGGAGUACAGGAGGGGUAGGCGGAAUUCCUGGUGUAGCGGUGAAAUGCGUAGAUAUCACGAGGAACACCGAGUGCGAAGGCGGCCUGCUGGACUGAAACUGACGCUGAGGCUCGAAAGCGUGGGGAGCAAACAGGAUUAGAUACCCCAGUAGUC
rnacentral:rRNA from 1 species